rnacentral:rRNA from 1 species
UACGUAGGGAGCAAGCGUUGUCCGGAUUUACUGGGUGUAAAGGGUGCGUAGGCGGCCUUGCAAGUCAGAAGUGAAAUCCAUGGGCUUAACCCGUGAACUGCUUUUGAAACUGUAGGGCUUGAGUGAAGUAGAGGCAGGCGGAAUUCCCGGUGUAGCGGUGAAAUGCGUAGAUAUUAGGAGGAACACCAGUGGCGAAGGCGGCCUGCUGGACGAUGACUGACGUUGAGGCUCGAAAGCGUGGGGAGCAAACAGG